UGGGGAAUCUUGCACAAUGGGGGCAACCCUGAUGCAGCGACGCCGCGUGAGCGAUGAAGCCCUUCGGGGCGUAAAGCUCUUUCGACCGGAACGAUAAUGACGGUACCGGGAGAAGAAGCUGCGGCUAACUACGUGCCAGCAGCCGCGGUAAUACGUAGGCAGCAAGCGUUGUUCGGAGUUACUGGGCGUAAAGAGUGCGUAGGCGGUUUUCUAAGUUCGGUGUGAAAUCUCCCGGCUUAACUGGGAGGGUGCGCCGAAGACUGGGAAGCUGGAGUGUGGGAAAGGCAGGCGGAAUUCCUGGUGUAGCGGAGAAAUGCGUAGAUAUCAGGAGGAACACCGGCGGUGUAGACGGCUUGCUAGACCAUAACUGACGCUGAGGCACGAAAGCGUGGGUAGCAAAC
rnacentral:rRNA from 1 species